rnacentral:lncRNA from 1 species
CGGUGGCAGGAGAGGCCAAGAAGAGCAGCAGGAUCAGCUGCAGCACGACCGGAGGAAUGGUGAAUGAAUGCAUUGGUUGGUGCCCCCUCUCCCCCCUUUUGUUUUGAUGUUGCUUGAAGAAUGCAUGCAGUGCUGGUGGUAGUUAUCAUCUAGUAGUGGAUUUAUUUGCACAUCAGACCUACUGAACACCACACAUAAGAUUCCCUAUUUCAUGUCGUGGGCGCACCUUAGGACCCUGCGCCACGGUUGGUCGAUACACAAAAGACAGCGACACUAGGAUAGGAAAGCAACAUCCCUAUCAAUUAGCUGUAGUAAAAGGCUAACUAGUUUAUAAUCUGUCAUUUAGUUAUGGAUGGAUCAAAUAGUUCCCGAUUAGUCCCAAAUUUUCAAGUAGCAAGAAGCCAAUCUAUUAUCUCGCUGCCCCAAGGUUCAUGUUUAAGUGUAAUAGUUGAAGAACAUAUUGGAAGGUCAAUUACUAGUUUGCUCAUCUUGCCCGUCCUAUUCAUGGCAUUGCUGCUCAAUAAUACAUAGAUAUAGGUGGUGGUCUUUGGUUACGGACUUACAGCACUAGUUUUGUUUACCGCAAGUGUCAGGCUGGCAUUGGUAGGCAGGCCCAAAGGGGGUACCAACCUACUAAUGGUCUUUGGUUACAGACUUACCACACUAGUUUUGUUUACCACGAGUGUCAGGCUGGCAUUGGUAGGCAGGACCAAAGGGGGUACCAACCUACUAAUUGUUGUAUUUUUCCCAUGGUUCAUGUCUAUGGUGGUAUUCUGCUCAUAAUUAUUAUGUGGAUUUCCCACCAGCUCUUUGACUCUUUGUAGCAGAUGAAUACAUAUCCAUGAUUUCAGUUUGAAAAAUUGCUUCAUGGUUCUGUUUUCUGACUUUUUGGAGCUAAUGAAUAAAUAUCCAUGAUUUCAGGUUGAAAAACCGCUUCAUGGUUGUGUUUUUCUCAUGCUUCCUGUUAGUUCCUCAGAAAUCAUAUUAGUGUCAUUUCCUUUGGGAGAAGUCUUGAACAAAAGCAGAAUUAAUGGUACAUAUCACAUAUGCAUCAUCCAUCCAUGUAAUAUUCCAGAUGCACAAAGAAUAGCCAUGGAUUAUUCCCCUGUUCUUUUUGUGCAUAGAAGCUUUGAGCUUCAACUUCCUGUGUCUGUUUUUCCUCUUGUUAUUUUCGUUUUCUUUUUUGGACAGAAAAGUAGCAUGUAGAUGUCUUCCUAUCCUGCUUUCACUACUUGGCAGUUCGAGUUCACCUGUUAAACAAUUAGUCUUGAUUAUUUCCAUUUCAUUACAUUGAAAUUACAUUUCAUUUUUUUUUUACUUUGCUUCAUGCACCGUCAACCUCUCAUGCUAGGUAAUUCUUUUCUGGCGACUAAUUUGGCCUCAAAUGCAGUCUGCAGAAGAAUAUUGUUGACAUGUUUCUCCAUUUUGAUUUCUGAACAUAGACAGUUUUGUUGCUAAAGCUGCUCCUUUUCAUAGUUAUGUUUGAUUAUACAUGUAUCUGCCAGACACAAAUUCUUCUUGACAAAUGGCACUUUUUCUGUUAUAUUUCACAUUGCCGUGUCUU